rnacentral:SRP_RNA from 1 species
GCUGGGUGUGGUGGCGUGUGCCUGUAGUCCCAGCUACUCAGGAAGCUGAGUUGGGAGGAUCGCUUGAACCCAGGAGGUUGAGGCUGCAGUGAGGUGUGAUUGCACCACUGCACUUCAGCCUGGGCAACAGAGUGAGAUCCUGUCUCAA